rnacentral:rRNA from 1 species
UGGGGAAUAUUGCGCAAUGGGCGAAAGCCUGACGCAGCGACGCCGCGUGGAGGAUGAAGGUCUUAGGAUUGUAAACUCCUGUCAGAUGGAAAGAAAGGCUCAUGUCUAAUAAACGUGAGAUAUGACGGUACCAUCAGAGGAAGCACCGGCUAACUUCGUGCCAGCAGCCGCGGUAAUACGAAGGGUGCGAGCGUUAUUCGGAAUCACUGGGCGUAAAGGGUGCGUAGACGGUAUGUUAAGUUUGUUGUUAAAGGCUCCGGCCUAACUGGAGUAUUGCGAUGAAAACUGGCAAGCUAGAGGGUGAGAGAGAGAAGUGGAAUUCCCGGAGUAGCGGUAAAAUGCGUGGAUCUCGGGAGGAACACCAAUGGCGAAGGCAGCUUCUUGGCUCAUUCCUGACGUUGAGGCACGAAAGCGUGGGGAGCAAACA